ACGGGUGAGUAAUGCUUGGGAAUCUGGCUUAUGGAGGGGGAUAACGACGGGAAACUGUCGCUAAUACCGCGUAGAGUCGAGAGACGAAAGUGCGGGACCGCAAGGCCGCAUGCCAUAGGAUGAGCCCAAGUGGGAUUAGGUAGUUGGUGGGGUGUGGCUGGUAGGGCAGGCAACGCCUCACCUAUGCGACGAUCAGAAAACGGUCUGAGGACAUGAACGGCCCCCUUGGGACUGAGACACGGCCCAAACUCCUACUGGAGGCAAUAGUGGGAAAUCUUCCAUCUUGGCCGCCAACCUGACCGAGCAACGCCAAGGGUUUGAAAAAGGUCUUCUCAUCGGAAAGAUCUGUUGAAGUGGACGAACGUGCCUAAUGCGAAUAGACUGAAUCAAUGACGGUACCCAUCGAGGAUCCACGGCUAAAUACGUGCCAACACCCGCGGUAAUAGCUAUGUGGCGAUCGUUGACCGGAAUCAUUGCGCCUAAAGGGAUAUCAGGCAGACUUGUAAGUCUUUCUUACUAAAUAUGUGGAUCAACCUGAAACAUGUGAAAGAGACUAUGUGUCUUGAUUACAGGAUACCAAAGCGUAAUUCCGAUUGUAGCAGUGAAAUGCAUAAAUAUUGGCGAGCAACAGCGGCAGCUCAAGGCUGUUUUCGACUACUGAAGCUGACACUGAAGCUCAACAACCAUGGGUAGCAAACCGGAUUAGAUACCCCCGCUAACCUGGACGUAAC
rnacentral:rRNA from 1 species